CGGAGGAAAAGAAACCAACAGGGAUUGCCCUAGUAACGGCGAGUGAAGCGGCAACAGCUCAAAUUUGAAAUCUGGCGCAAGCCCGAGUUGUAAUUUGUAGAGGAUGCUUCUAGGUAGCGACCGGUCUAAGUUCCUUGGAACAGGACGUCAUAGAGGGUGAGAAUCCCGUAUGUGACCGGCCCGCACCUUCUACGUAGCUCCUUCGACGAGUCGAGUUGUUUGGGAAUGCAGCUCUAAAUGGGAGGUAAAUUUCUUCUAAAGCUAAAUACCGGCCAGAGACCGAUAGCGCACAAGUAGAGUGAUCGAAAGAUGAAAAGCACUUUGGAAAGAGAGUUAAAAAGCACGUGAAAUUGUUGAAAGGGAAGCGCUUACAACCAGACUUCUGGGCGGUGUUCCGCCGGUCUUCUGACCGGUCUACUCACCGUCCCGAGGCCAACAUCAUCUGGGACCGCCGGAUAAGACCUCAGGAAUGUAGCUCCCCUCGGGGAGUGUUAUAGCCUGUGGUGAUGCGGCGCGUCUCGGGUGAGGUCCGCGCUUCGGCAAGGAUGUUGGCGUAAUGGUUGUCAGCGGCCCGUCUUGAAACACGGACCAAGGAGUCUAACAUCUAUGCGAGUGUUCGGGUGUCAAACCCCUACGCGUAAUGAAAGUGAACGGAGGUGGGAAGGGUAACCUGCACCAUCGACCGAUCCUGAUGUCCUCGGAUGGAUUUGAGUAAGAGCAUAGCUGUUGGGACCCGAAAGAUGGUGAACUAUGCCUGAAUAGGGUGAAGCCAGAGGAAACUCUGGUGGAGGCUCGCAGCGGUUCUGACGUGCAAAUCGAUCGUCAAAUUUGGGUAUAGGGGCGAAAGACUAAUCGAACCAU
rnacentral:rRNA from 1 species